rnacentral:rRNA from 1 species
CACGUAGGGGGCGAGCGUUGUCCGGAUUUAUUGGGCGUAAAGAGCUCGUAGGCGGCUCAGUAAGUCAGGUGUGAAAACUCCAGGCUCAACCUGGAGACGCCACCUGAUACUGCUGUGGCUAGAGUCCGGUAGGGGAGCAUGGAAUUCCUGGUGUAGCGGUGAAAUGCGGCAGAUAUCAGGAGGAACACCGAUGGCGAAGGCAGGUCUCUGGGCCAUUAACUGACA